GACAGAGCGCGUGCGCGCCCGCGGCGAGGAGAAGCUGGCUGCGCUGGAGCAGGUGCUGCAGCAGGAGCGAGAGACCGAAGUGUACCGCACGCCGCGGCCUGACUGGAACAGGGCCUCCGCAUACGUUCCGGGCGGAGAGUCGGCAUGGAUGACUCGGAGGGACGGCCUACCCAGCUGUGACGUCAUGAUGGAACUGCUGAAUCAGCUGUCGGCGCCGGGUCCAGACACUUUCAAGGGACUGGGUGUCGAUGCCGAGAUCAUCCCCGUCUUCCUGAAGUGGCAGAACAAGGCAAACAACCUAAGAAUGACGCGCAGACAAGUGGUGUCUCUCAUCUGCGACAUUCUCGAAUGCGACAGGCAGAAUGAAGAGGGCUUCCAAGAUUUCGUAUGGAGGUACUUCAA